rnacentral:misc_RNA from 1 species
AAGUCGUAACAAGGUUUCCGUAGGUGAACCUGCGGAAGGAUCAUUAUCGAGUUUUGACUGGGUUAGAGCUGGCCUUCCGAGGCAUGUGCACGCCCUGCUCAUCCACUCUACACCUGUGCACUUACUGUGGGUUUCAGUCGGUGUUAGUGGGCCUUUACCGGCUCGCGAAGUCGUCUGUGCCCGCGUUUAUUACAAACUCUUACAAGUAUCAGAAUGUGUAUUGCGAUGUAACGCAUCUAAUACAACUUUCAGCAACGGAUCUCUUGGCUCUC